UACGUAGGGUGCGAGCGUUGUCCGGAAUUAUUGGGCGUAAAGAGCUUGUAGGCGGUCUGUCGCGUCUGCUGUGAAAAUCCGGGGCUCAACCCCGGACUUGCAGUGGGUACGGGCAGACUAGAGUGUGGUAGGGGAGACCGGAAUUCCUGGUGUAGCGGUGAAAUGCGCAGAUAUCAGGAGGAACACCGAUGGCGAAGGCAGGUCUCUGGGCCACUACUGACGCUGAGAAGCGAAAGCAUGGGGAGCGAACAGG
rnacentral:rRNA from 1 species